UACAGAGGGUGCAAGCGUUAAUCGGAAUUACUGGGCGUAAAGCGCGCGUAGGUGGUUUGUUAAGUUGAAUGUGAAAUCCCCGGGCUCAACCUGGGAACUGCAUCCAAAACUGGCAAGCUAGAGUAGGGCAGAGGGUGGUGGAAUUUCCUGUGUAGCGGUGAAAUGCGUAGAUAUAGGAAGGAACACCAGUGGCGAAGGCGACCACCUGGGCUCAUACUGACACUGAGGUGCGAAAGCGUGGGAAGCAAACAGG
rnacentral:rRNA from 1 species